GGAGUUAGCCGGUGCUUCUUCUGUGAGUGAUGUCCUUCCUGCCGGCUAUUAACCCGCAGGCCUUCUUCCUCACUGAAAGUGCUUUACAACCCGAAGGCCUUCUUCACACACGCGGCAUGGCUGGAUCAGGGUUGCCCCCAUUGUCCAAUAUUCCCCACUGCUGCCUCCCGUAGGAGUCUGGGCCGUGUCUCAGUCCCAGUGUGUCUGAUCAUCCUCUCAGACCAGCUACGGAUCGUCGCCUUGGUGAGCCGUUACCUCACCAACCAGCUAAUCCGACAUAGGCUCAUCCGAUAGCGCGAGGCCCGAAGGUCCCCCGCUUUCCCCCGUAGGGCGUAUGCGGUAUUAGCCUGGGUUUCCCCAGGUUAUCCCCCACUACCGGGCAGAUUCCUAUGCAUUACUCACCCGUCCGCCGCUCGCCACCAGGGAGCAAGCUCCCCGUGCUGCCGCUCGACUUGCAUGUGUUAGGCCUGCCGCCAGCGUUCAAUCUGAGCCAUAAUCAAACUCUGA
rnacentral:rRNA from 1 species